rnacentral:ncRNA from 2 species
UUAAUAUUGAAGUUUUAAGGUGCUCCCUUAAAGGGAGUUAAAAGGGAAGUUCGGUGAAAAUCCGACGCAGCCCCCGCUACUGUGAGCGAAGACGAAACCUUAUUAUGCCACUUGGUAAAACCAGGGAAGGCAAGGUAGUAGGAUGAAGCGCGAGCCAGGAAACCUGCCUUAAAACAUUAGCAACA